GCAAGCCGAGCGGUAGAGUCCCUUCGGGGGCUUGAGAGCGGCGCACGGGUGCGGAACACGUGUGCAACCUGCCUUUAUCUGGGGGAUAGCCUUCCGAAAGGAAGAUUAAUACCCCAUAACAUAUUGAUUCGCAUGGAUUGAUAUUGAAAACCCCGGUGGAUAGAGAUGGGCACGCGCAGGAUUAGAUAGUUGGUGAGGUAACGGCUCACCAAGUCAGCGAUCCUUAGGGGGCCUGAGAGGGUGAUCCCCCACACUGGUACUGAGACACGGACCAGACUCCUACGGGAGGCAGCAGUGAGGAAUAUUGGACAAUGGGUGAGAGCCUGAUCCAGCCAUCCCGCGUGAAGGACGACGGCCCUAUGGGUUGUAAACUUCUUUUGUACAGGGAUAAACCUACCCUCGUGAGGGUAGCUGAAGGUACUGUACGAAUAAGCACCGGCUAACUCCGUGCCAGCAGCCGCGGUAAUACGGAGGGUGCAAGCGUUAUCCGGAUUUAUUGGGUUUAAAGGGUCCGUAGGCGGGCCUGUAAGUCAGUGGUGAAAUCUCGCAGCUCAACUGUGAAACUGCCAUUGAUACUGCAGGUCUUGAGUGUUGUUGAGGUAGCUGGAAUAAGUAGUGUAGCGGUGAAAUGCAUAGAUAUUACUUAGAACACCGAUUGCGAAGGCAGGUUACCAAGCAACAACUGACGCUGAUGGACGAAAGCGUGGGGAGCGAACAGGAUUAGAUACCCUGGUAGUCCACGCCGUAAACGAUGCUAACUCGUUUUUGGGGCGUAAGUCUCAGAGACCAAGCGAAAGUGAUAAGUUAGCCACCUGGGGAGUACGAACCCAAUUUUUAAACUCAAAGGAAUUGACGGGGGCCCGCACAACCGGUGGAUUAUGUGGUUUAAUUCCAUGAUACCCGAGGAACCUUACCAAGGCUUAAAUGGGAAAUGAC
rnacentral:rRNA from 1 species